AGAGUUUGAUCCUGGCUCAGAAUGAACGCUGGCGGCGCGCCUAAUACAUGCAAGUCGAGCGAGAAGACGUAGCAAUACGUUUGUAAAGCGGCGAACGGGUGAGGAAUACAUGGGUAACCUACCCUCGAGUGGGGAAUAACUAGCCGAAAGGUUAGCUAAUACCGCGUACGCUCCUUGGACUUCGGUUCAGGGAGGAAAGCGAUACCGUGGGUAUCGCGCUCUUGGUUGGGCUCAUGUCCUAUCAGCUUGUUGGUGAGGUAACGGCUCACCAAGGCUUCGACGGGUAGCUGGUCUGAGAGGACGAUCAGCCACACUGGCACUGCGACACGGGCCAGACUCCUACGGGAGGCAGCAGUAAGGAAUAUUGCGCAAUGGGCGAAAGCCUGACGCAGCGACGCCGCGUGGGGGAUGAAGGUCUUCGGAUUGUAAACCCCUUUCGGGAGGGAAGAUGGAACGAGCAAUCGUUCGGACGGUACCUCCAGAAGCA
rnacentral:rRNA from 1 species